GAUUUCUGGUUUAAGUUAACCGGAUCGAUUUGACCGGUUGGACCAUUGACCGUUGACUGUUGACCGUUGACUUUGACCGUUGACCGUUGACUUUGACCAGUUGACCCGAAAACCGUUUUUCUUCGUUCGGACGCCGUUUGACUCGAUUUUUCGUUCCGGUUUCAGAUCCGGAGUCGGUUUAUUCAUUCGAGGUCCAGAAGUCGUAGGUUCAGCAUUGCUAAGGUGAGCCAGACGAGUAGUUAUGACUUGAUGAGUUGGGAUGUGUCAUUUUGGGAUGGAUUAUCGUUUUCAGUAUUCUAUUCGAGACUUUUAUUAAACAGUCGUGUUAUCGACUUAUGUGGAUUUAGUAUGUUUUAUCGGAUUUUUGCGCUGGUAUUUUAUAAAGAACUGGAUGUUUAUGGAAAAA